CUGAAUCGCUAUUAACUAGAUGAAACUAACACAUUCGAGGCUUGAUGAUUUUAAAGAAACAUGAAUAUUGCCUAACUGUUUAUUCCCAACACUAACACUCACCCAAGUAUUAAUUCAAAUUCCUAUCUUUCUAGAUUUAAGGCAUCACUAUGUUCACUCAAAUGUUAUCUGUUAACAGAAGUCUAUUAUUUGCUAUCAUUACUGUGAAUAUGAACAACGGGGAAAGCUGGAAAUAAACUUGUACAACAAAAUACAGACCAUAGUUUGUUACAAGUCUAAAUGGUUCAAAAUGGUGGAGGCAAUCCUAAUUGACCAGUUCUUAACUCAAUAUAAUUCAAAUAAAAGGAAAAUUGAACAAUUGACAACAUUGAACUGACUAACUUUACAAAUAUUCAUAUGAAUAUAGGCCGGAAAUACUACUUUAUUUCAUUCCAAUUCGAGGUUACACCAAUGAAUUCGAGCGUGUACCUGGUGUUGAAAAUACAAGAAAGGACAAUGAGAAUCAACAGUAGAAGUAAGCAACACAGCAACAACAACAAACAGAGUCGAGUUCAAGACCAAACCACAACCUAUCUUCCUCUCAAACUACUCAACUCUUGGUGUUAAAAAUUCCCCCCUCGAAGUGUCUCCUUUUUUUGUCUUUUCUUUAAAGUGUGAUGGAAUACCCAUAUAUAUCAAAACAGACAACUAUCAAAAAUUCAAAAGCUAAUUUUUUUGAUAGAUUUUCUACAAAGUCUGCUCUUAAAUUCAAAAAGAAAGACUUUCUCCACCAAAUCAUGUCAAUAGAGAGUAUUUCAAACAAAAAUCUGCAUGUUGUUGUAGGAUAGACUUUUAUUCAAAAAUUAUCCAAAAGCCUAUAUUCCUUACCAAACGAAUGACUUUUGAGUUUUGUACUCAAAAAGUCUUGAAGUAAUAAAUAAACAAACAAACAAAUACCAUAUACUCUUAAGUAUUUUUCACUACUUUACUUUUAUCAGUACAAAACUAUUUUACUAUUUCAACAAGUGUAAAAAAAACAGAAAAUUUAACAUUUCAAACUUAAAACUAAUGCUAAAAUAAUUAAUAAUAAACAAAAAAUAAAAAUCUGAAAAUUAAAAAUUAAAAAUAUAAACCAGCCAUGAAAAAAUAAUUGCAUUUUACCAUUUUACAAUUCAAAUAGCCGAAAAAAUGGUGGUAUGCCAAGAACGAUGUUCGGGAGGUCGCCGGAUUUUGGUCACCGAAUUUUUGAGGUAGAAUUGACAUCAAUAGCUAGGUCUUGAGGAUCUCUAUCCGUUGAUGUAUGUAUUGUAGGGUGGUAGUAGCCGGAACUUCAAUAACUUGGGUGAAAAAGUGACGGAAAAGUUUCUCAGAUCCACGAUUCAAGGAGUUUGAGAGUUUUUUUUUUGAAGGAUUUGGUUUGGAGAUAUGAAAAGAUGAGGUGGUGGAGAUCACAUGGUGAAAUUUUGGGGCGGAUUGAAGAUCGGCCGCCGCCGGUGGACGAUUUCCGGCGGCGGCGGCGGCUUGGUGGGAGAGAGAAGAGGGAGUGAUUAUAGGGAAAGAAGAGAGGUAAUAAUGGGGAAA
rnacentral:lncRNA from 1 species